rnacentral:RNase_P_RNA from 1 species
GCUACAAGCCAGGCUAUCGCUUCCCGCUCUUUGUGGGAGGAGGAAAGUCCGGACAGCACAGAGCAAUGCACCGGUGAAGAGCCGGGUCUCGCCUCAGGUGAGAACAGAUAGUGCCACAGAAAAUAACUGCCUCCGGGUAAGGGUGAAAACGUAGGGUAAGAGCCUACGGCUGUUGAUGGUAACAUCAAUAGCGGGUAAACCUUGCAUGCUGAAAUGCCACAUAUAGGAUCGUUUUGAGAACUGCUCGUUCAAGAUCCAGGGUAGGCAGAUUGAUCCCGGCAGGUAACUGCCGGGACAGAUAAAUGAUAGCCUCCCGAUAGCUAUCGGGAACAGAAUCCGGCUUACAGGCUUGUAGCUUUU